rnacentral:rRNA from 1 species
GACGAACGCUGGCGGCGUGCUUAACACAUGCAAGUCGAACGGAAAGGCCCUGCUUUUGUGGGGUGCUCGAGUGGCGAACGGGUGAGUAACACGUGAGUAACCUGCCCUUGACUUUGGGAUAACUUCAGGAAACUGGGGCUAAUACCGGAUAGGAGCUCCUGCUGCAUGGUGGGGGUUGGAAAGUUUCGGCGGUUGGGGAUGGACUCGCGGCUUAUCAGCUUGUUGGUGGGGUAGUGGCUUACCAAGGCUUUGACGGGUAGCCGGCCUGAGAGGGUGACCGGCCACAUUGGGACUGCGAUACGGCCCAGACUCCUACGGGAGGCAGCAGUGGGGAGUAUUGCACAAUGGGCGGAAGCCUGAUGCAGCAACGCCGCGUGCGGGAUGACGGCCUUCGGGUUGUAAACCGCUUUCGCCUGUGACGAAGCGUGAGUGACGGUAAUUGGUAAAGAAGCACCGGCUAACUACGUG